rnacentral:tRNA from 1 species
UAAAGAAUAUUUUUAGAGCCGCUAACUCUAGUCACGACUAUCCAGCGAUUCUUUUC